rnacentral:lncRNA from 1 species
AGAAAAAGAGAAAAGAAGGAAAGAAAGAAAGAAAAAGAAAGAAAAUCUAUAUGUGUAAGACUGAGCGGCUUUGCUGUACAGCAGAAAUUGGCACAACAUUGUAAAUCAACCAUAAUAAAAAUUUCGUUAAAGAGCUGCUGGAGUUAUGAAGAAAGGGAGCCUGAGCGACCGAGUGGCUGAGAGGGGGACAUUGUCAUCUAGGAGAAGGAUGCACUGGGACUCGGAGAAUGGAGCCAGAGCCCAGGCGAGAGCAGAAGGGCUGCAGAGCUGGGGCCGUGGGGUAGGGAGGAGAACGGCCAGCACCCCUCUAAGCUGUGUCCCUAUCUGGGUGGGUCUGGGUCCCUCUCUGGGUGGGUCUAGGGCGGGUUUCUGCAUCUGCCUGGAGUCCCACCCCUGCGUGUCUGCUCAGAAUGGCCUACACUUAGUUUAAUGCUCUGCUGUCACCGCCUGGAAAUUCUGAGCAAGGGGCCUGUCACUUUUAUUUUGCACCGUGUCCCACAAGCCGCAUAGCCAGUCCUGGGGGGGCAGCACUGGGGAUUUCAUCCGCAUGGGCCAGAACGAGCAGCCCGGACUCACGGGGGCCGGACCUCCACAUCUGCCUGGGGAGCCAGGAAAAAGGAAUUUUCCAACUAUCACCAUCGGAGCAAUUUCAAAGGCAACAUUCCAUUAGCAAAAAGAUGCCACUUAAAGGUCCAUGCAGCAUCAGGGCCCUUCUGGCAGGACAGGGUGCUAAGCUGGCGGUAGACGCCCUCUUCAUCUACAUUUGAAUGGGCUUCUUUAGAAAGAGUCUCAGCGAGUCCAUCCUUCCCAGCGAAAUCCCCGAAAGAUAUCUUAACAAGGUCAUUGCUUUUUUAAUUGUUUGUUUUAAGGCCACACCUGCGGCCUAUGGAAGUUCCUGGGCUGGGGAUUGUGUCCAAGUCACAGCUGUGACAACUGGUCGGAUUCUUUAACCCCCUGAGCCGGGCCAGGGAUUGAACCUGCACCUCCUCGGCGACCUGAGCGGCUGCAGUCAGGUUCUUAACCCACUGUGCCACAACAGGAACUCCCAACAAGAUCGAAUUUAAGUGACACUUAAUAAAUUGAUAUAAAAGCAUAUAUUGGGGUCUACUUUAUUUUUCUUUGCUUUUUGUUAUUCAAUUCUUGGCAUUUAAAGCGAGGAAUUUAUUCUCUUUCUACAACAUUAUGGCCGUGAGAAGGAAAGAGAUAAUGGCUUGAAUCGCAGCAUGAACAAUUAAGGCUAAAUGCCUUCAAGGUAAUUUGAACUUUCAAAAUCAUUAGAAAGAUAGAAAAACUCUAGAAGACUCACUGUUUCUUGUACAUCCAGUGUCUCACAAACGCAAACAUUCCCACCAACCUAAGCCAAAUAGGCCCGUUUCUCUUUCUUUUUCUUUUUUCUUUUUGCCUUUUAGGGCCGCACCUGUGACAUAUGGAGGUUCUCAGGCUAGGGGUUGAAUGGGAGCUGUAGCCACCUACCUACACCUCAGCCACAGCCACACAAGAUCUGAGCCUCCUCUGCAACCUAGCCCACAGAUCACGGCAACCCCAGAUCCUUAACCCACUGAGCGAGGCCAGGGAUCGAACCUGCAUCCUCAUGGAUACAUCGGGCUUGUAACCCGCUGUGCCACAACGGGAACUCCCACGUUUCUCUUUUUCCUCCCAAGUACAGUCUAAGUAAACAAAGGGCACAAAUAUUUUUACCACGUAGGUAAAAACCAUUUCGCCCAGCACAGUGUUAAAUCAAUAUUUGUGAGUGAAUGAGUGAAACGUAUUUGGCUAAAAAUGUAGGAGCUUUUCCACGGUUUCCGUGCCAAAUGUUGAAGGGAUUUCCCAGGAUUGGUUAACAUGGUGACUGUUGGAAUAGUGUCAGUGUGUCUGUGGGUCCACAUAGAAAUACCCUCUGUGUACACACAAAGAAGAGGAAAAACCUCAGAGAGAAAAAUGUGCAGGGCGGACAUUCAGGGAAGAGAAGAAAGAAGAAAAUUUACUCUUUGGUAUGUUCAGCUUCACCUUUUUGCUUCAUUGCCCCCCACCCCCCUGCUCCCACCAAUCUCCUUUCCCUAAAACCACAUCUCUUUCUAGUUUCCCAUUUCCCAGGGCCCCUGCUUUCUUCUGCUUCUUUUCUAGUGAAAUCUAUAAAUAGCAACAUACCUAUAAACUUACUCAUACUAAAGUAUGAAUGGUUGCUACCAUUUUUUGAAUGGGCUCUCUGAAUGAGCGUAUUUAUAUUUUAAUAGAGAAUAAAGGAGUGGCUUACACCUGGCAUUGCCAGAAUUAAGGAAUGCCAGGGAGGUGUCUGGGCAGAGGGAGGUGGGGCCGGAGGGACAUUUCUGGUAGAAGGGACCUUGCUUUAAAAACAAGAAUCAGGGAGUUCUCGUCGUGGUGAAGUGGUUAACAAAUCCGACUAGGAACCAUGAGGUUGCCGGUUCGAUCCCUGGCCUUGCUCAGUGGGUUAAGGAUUCGGUGUUGCCGUGAGCUGCGGUGUAGGGUCACAGAUGUGGCUUAAAUCCCACGUGGCUGUGGCUGUGGUGGAAGUUGGCAGCUACAGCUCCAAUUUGACCCCUAGCCUGGGACCUUCCAUAUGUUGCAGGGGUUACCCUAAAAAGACAAAAAAUAAAAACACAAACAAGAAUCAUUUUUGUUUGAAAUAAAAUAACUGUUCAAUUGGGGGGCAUUCUCAUAAGAACUGCCAUAACUUUUCUUCUUUUUUGCCCGCCCCUAAAUGAACUGAAUGUACAUUGAGAGGGACAGACGAGGAAAAGAGACAGAAAGAGACAGAGAAAAAGAGAGGAGAGAGACAAGCAAGCAAUACAGGAUCUGAGGUGAUUGAUCUGAUUGAAAAGCCACGUUCGGGAGUUCCUGCUGUGGCACAAGGAGAUUGGUGGCUGGGACACAGGUUCGAUCCCAGGCCCUACGCAGUGGGUUAAAGGGUCCAGCGUUGCCGCACCUGGGGGUAGGUCACACCUGGGGCUCAGAUCUGAUCCCUGGCCCAGGAACUCCAUAUGCCACAGUGAGG